rnacentral:rRNA from 1 species
UCGAGUGGCAAACGGGGUGAGUAACGCGUAAACACCUGCCUUCGGAUGGGGAUACAGCCGGAAACGGCUGCUAAUCCGAUACGAUCUUUUCGUCGCAUGACGGAAAAGAAGAAAAGGAUGGCUCUAUACAAAGCUAUCGCCGAAGGAGGGGUUUUUGCGUCUGAUUUAGCUGGUUGGAGGGGUAACGGCCCAACAAGGCGAUGAUCAGUAGCCGGUCUGAGAGGAUGAACGGCCACAUUGGGACUGAGACACGGCCCAGACUCCUACGGGAGGCAGCAGUGGGGAAUCUUCCGCAAUGGACGAAAGUCUGACGGAGCAACGCCGCGUGAGUGAAGAAGGUCUUCGGAUUGUAAAGCUCUGUUAUACGGGACGAAAAAGACGGAUGCCAACAGUAUCCGUCCGUGACGGUACCGUAAGAGAAAGCCACGGCUAACUACGUGCCAGCAGCCGCGGUAAAU